UACAAACAUAGGUAUUUAUAGAUUUAAAGAUAAUCCUAAACCCUGAAGUAUUUGGACUUCAAAACUUAAUCUUAACCUUUAAGCAAUCCCAAAAGUAAUCCUUAACCACAAGUCCUCUAAAUAUCUUUCUAGCAAAUAUGAAAUUACAAAAUUUCCCUGUGAAUUUAUAAAGUAUCCACAACUAAUAUAUUUAAAUGGAGACGUAAGUAAAACUCUAAAAGAAUUAGAAAAUACUAUACAAUUUCCCAAUAAACUUUACGUUAAAUCUGAACUAUAAUCCUAAGUUUCUUGAGUAUUUGACUGCGAAUUUUCUUGAAUUCCUUGGUUGCAUCAAAUAGGAUUAAAUUUACCAUCUACAAAUAACAUAAAUAAAUGGUUUUUUCCUAUUCCCUCCUUCCUUUUAGUGGGAGAGUGUGAAUGAUAAUCUAUUCUGUUUUGACUUUAGGUUGUGUUUGGUAGAGUGUAAUGUAAUGUAAUGUAAUUAACUAUGUAAUGCAAUCAAAAUUAUAAUAUAAUGAUAAUUUUUAUCUUAAUAUUUGAUUUAUUUAUAGUGUUAAUAAUAAGUGGUAGUGGUUGUAAUGGUGGUUAUGAGUGAUAGUGGUGGUUAAGUGUAAGUGAUGGUAGUGACAACAGUAGUAGUUAAGUAAUGGUGGCGGCAGCGGCGGCAAGGUAAGAUGAUAUGGUGGUAGUAACCAGGUGGUGAUAGAGG
rnacentral:misc_RNA from 1 species